rnacentral:rRNA from 1 species
AUUGAACGCUGGCGGCAGGCCUAACACAUGCAAGUCGAGCGAGCGGCGGACGAGUGAGUAAUGUCUGGGAAACUGCCUGAUGGAGGGGGAUAACUACUGGAAACGGUAGCUAAUACCGCAUACCAUCGGAUGUGCCCAGAUGGGAUUAGCUAGUAGGUGGGGUAAAGGCUCACCUAGGCGACGAUCCCUAGCUGGGCUGAGAGGAUGACCAGCCACACUGGAACUGAGACACGGUCCAGACUCAGACGGGCGGCAGCAGUGGGGAAUAUUGCACAAUGGGCGAAAGCCUGAUGCAGGCAUGCCGCGUGUAUGAAGAAGGCCUUCGGGUUGUAAAGUACUUUCAGCGGGGAGGCGUUACCCGCAGAAGAAGCACCGGAUAACGCCGUGCCAGCAGCCGCGGUAAUUC